rnacentral:rRNA from 1 species
GACGUAGGGCGCGAGCGUUGUCCGGAUUUAUUGGGCGUAAAGAGCUCGUAGGCGGCUUGUCGCGUCGUCCGUGAAAACCUGCAGCUCAACUUCAGGCUUGCGGUCGAUACGGGCAGGCUCGAGUUCGGUAGGGGAGACUGGAAUUCCUGGUGUAGCGGUGAAAUGCGCAGAUAUCAGGAGGAACACCGGUGGCGAAGGCGGGUCUCUGGGCCGAUACUGACGCUGAGGAGCGAAAGCGUGGGGAGCGAACAGG